AGGAUAUCUCGUCGCACUAAGACGGACUCCACAUCUGUAUUUUAUCCAUUCUUCCCCACGGAUCCACAACUCUGUGUCGUCUCCACUCUACAUCAGUAUGUAGAAACUACCCUACCACUCAGGUCUACGCCCUCAGGUCAACUCUUAGUAUCAUACAUUAGACCACAUGUUCCUAUUACAACAACCACCCUAGCGAGAUGGGUUCGAUGGUUACUAUCGCUAGCCGGCGUGGACACUACAUUCGGAGCACACUCCGUACGCGGAGCAGCAGCAUCCUCAGCCUUCAUGGCGGGUGCCUCCAUAACGGAUAUCCUACACUCCGCGGAUUGGUCUAGAGAAUCUACGUUCCGCACCUUCUACUUCCGACCGAACUCCGGUGCAGCCAUGUCUCUUAUACAACAGCGUUAAAAAUGCAAAAUAGGAAGCCUCCUGUCAUGUGAUAAAAUUGAAGAUUAUGCUAGCGUUAGUGU